rnacentral:tRNA from 1 species
GCAUUGGUGGUUCAGUGGUAGAAGUCUUGUCUUCCAAGCAGGAGACUCAGGUUCGAUUUCCAGCCAAUGCC